GGGAGUCCGUCAAUACUGCGGACUUGAGUGCAGCAGAGCGAGCCGGAAUUCCCGGCGUAACGGUGAAAUGCGUGAAAAUCGGGAGGAACACCAGUGGCGAAGACGGCCUCCUGGCAUGUUUCUGACGCUGAAGGCGAAAGCUAGGGGAGCGAACGGGGAUUAGAAACCCCGGUAGUCCUAGCCGUUAAACGAUGGAUGCUGGGUUUGUGAGGGUAUAGAUCCCCUCCGUGCCGAAGCUAACGCGUUAAGCAUCCCGCCUGGGGAUUACGGCCGCAAGGCUUAAACUCAAACGAAUUGACGGGGGCCCGCACAAGCAGCGGAGCGUCUGGUUUAAUUCGAUGCUACACGAAGAACCUUACCUGGGCUUGACAUGUAGGUAGUAGUGAAGCGAAAGCGGAACGACCCUUCGGGGAGCCUACACAGGUGCUGCAUGGCUGUCGUCAGUUCGUGCCGUGAGGUGUCGGGUUAAGUCCCGUAACGAACGCAACCCUUGCCCUUAGUUACAUGUGUCUAAGGGGACUGCCCGGGACAACUGGGAGCCAGCUGGGGAUGACGUCAAGUCAGCAUGGCCUUUAUGUCCAGGGCUACACACACGCUACAAUGGCCGGUACAAUGGGUCGCCAAGCCGUGAGGCGGAGCCAAUCCCCCAAAGCCGGUCUAAGUUCGGAUUGUGGGCUGCAACUCGCCCAUAUGAAGCUGGAGUUGCUAGUAACCGCGCGUCAGCAAUACCGCGCUGAAUACGUUCCCGGGCCUUGUACACACCGCCCGUCACGUCAUGGAAGCUGGCAACACCUGAAGCCAGUG
rnacentral:rRNA from 1 species